rnacentral:rRNA from 1 species
UAGGGAAUCUUCCGCAAUGGACGAAAGUCUGACGGAGCAACGCCGCGUGAGUGAAGAAGGAUUUCGGUUCGUAAAACUCUGUUGUUAGGGAAGAAAAAAUGUAUAGUAACUAUAUACAAAAGAGACGGUACCUAACCAGAAAGCCACGGCUAACUACGUGCCAGCAGCCGCGGUAAUACGUAGGUGGCAAGCGUUGUCCGGAAUUAUUGGGCGUAAAGCGCGCGCAGGUGGUUUAGAAAGUCUGAUGUGAAAGCCCACGGCUCAACCGUUGAGGGUCAUUGGAAACUAAUCAACUUGAGUGCAGGAGAGAAAAGUGGAAUUCCUAGUGUAGCGGUGAAAUGCGUAGAGAUUAGGAGGAACACCGGUGGCGAAAGCGGCUUUUUGGCCUGCAACUGACACUGAGGCGCGAAAGCGUGGGGAGCAAACAGG